GGGCAUUUGGUCUAGGGGUAUGAUAUUUGCUUCGCAUCUUCUAACAGUGCUUGCAAAGGGUCCUGGGUUCAAUUCCCAGAAUGUCCA